AGCAUCGGAAAAUUUCAAGUCUCAUGUGGGAGGACCAUCUAGUAUUCACAACAAUGCAAGAAGUAAUUGUGAAGAUUUCAGAAAUAAGAAGCAAAGUGUGGCAUAUGCUAUCACAUCUCAAGAGGAGAAAUCACAUGUUGAUUAUGAAAUUCGUUUGAGGGCUGUUGUCGGUGUUGUACGGUUUCUUAUUGAACAAGGUCUAGCUUUUCGUGGGCAUGAUGAGUCUAGCACUUCUAGGAACAAGGGUAAUUUCCGUGAGUUGUUGGAUUGGUAUGGCGCAAGAUGCAAGGAGGUAGCGGAUGUGAUCAAUGAAAAUGCUCCUGGCAAUUGUCAAUUGACAUCUCAUGAAAUCCAACAAGAUAUAUCACAAGCAUGUGCGGAAGAGACUAUGGAAGUCAUAAUGAGUGAGCUUGAAAAUGCUAGCUUCUCUCUACUCGUUGAUGAGUCUCGUGAUGUAUCGGUUAAAGAGCAAAUGGCCGUGAUGGUGAGGUGAGUGCCUCUUGUAAGAAGAAAGAUGCGUUGUUGCAAAAGCAUCAUGAUCAUAUGGUAUCACUGCUAGAGAAUGGGGAGAUCUUGCCAGGAAGAGGCCAACAUCAAGAGACAAGUUUAGCAAGACCAGGUGAUACACGUUGGGGGUCACACCAUAGAACUCUAAUCCGGAUUCAUCAAAUGUGGGAUUCAGUGAUUUCCGUGCUUGAUAGCAUUUCUCAUGAUGGGACAGAUGCCGAGGAGAGAGGUUUGGCUUCAGGUUAUAUGAUCAACAUGGAAACCUUUGAAUUUGUUUUUAUCUUGCAUUUGAUGCUUCGAUUGCUUGGUUUAACAAAUGAUCUAUCAUACGCAUUGCAACAAAAGGAUCAGAAUAUAGUUUGCGCCAUGAACAUGAUUGUCUCUGUGAAAAGUCUAAUGCAGAAAUUGAGAGAUGAUGGAUGGGAGACUCUCUUGAUGGCUGCUACUAACUUUUGUGGUGGAAGAAAUAUUGUAGUGCCAAAUAUGGAUGAUAACAUUUAUGCUAGGGGUUAUCCAAGGAGCUCACGCAAGAUGGUUACUUGCUUGCAUCAUUACAAGAUACAAAUCUUCAAUGAGGUGCUUGAUAGAAACAUUGUUGAGAUGAACAACAGAUUUGAUCUUCGAAACAGGAUGGGUGAUGAUUGGCUCAAUGACUUGCUGAUUUGCUAUGUUGAGAAAGAGAUAUUUACAAAAGUUGAUGACAAGAAGAUUAUGUUGCGUUUUCAUUCCUACAAGGAACGUCGAGGUCAUCUACCUCGACAAUUUCGUCUUCCUGGCAUAGAUACAAC